rnacentral:rRNA from 1 species
GACGAACGCUGGCGGCGUGCUUAAUACAUGCAAGUCAACUGAACUUGAGAUAGCAAUAUUUUAAGGGAGGUGGCGCACGGGUGAGUAACACGUAGGUAAUCUGCCUUUAGGUCUGACACAACCCCGAGAAAUCGGGGCUAAUAUCAGAUGAUGCAGCGGCUCGACAUCGAGACAGUUGUUAAACCUUCGGGGCCUAGAGAUGAGCCUGCGUCUGAUUAGGUAGUUGGCGGAGUAAAAGCCCACCAAGCCUGCGAUCAGUAGCUGGUCUGAGAGGAUGAUCAGCCACACUGGGACUGAGACACGGCCCAGACUCCUACGGGAGGCAGCAGUGGGGAAUUUUGGACAAUGGGGGCAACCCUGAUCCAGCCAUGCCGCGUGAGUGAAGAAGGCCU